GAAAAUAAUGAAGAGGGUAACCCAAGAAAUUUGUAAAAGCAUUCUGGUAUGGGUUAGGAGCGUGCUUCUGAGAGUGAUCCUCUUCCUGCCAUGGCCUUGGGAACCUGCUCUUCUGCUCAGUCAUAUUUGCUGAUGGUCUCCAACAUGCUGCAGAAAACAUUUACCUGAGAAAGAUUUUGGAAGUCAGAGUAAAAGGCCUGCCCUUUAGAAUCACUUUUGCAACACAAAGAGAAGAACUGCGUUGCCAUCCAGGAAUGGUUGAAUUUUUUUGGAGGGGAAAAUGCUGACCCGCUCUCAGUGGAUAAUGAAAAACAACACAUUUUUGUUUCAUUUAAGGAAAGGACCCAGUAGCAGGGAUUUCUUGACUCUUGAGAGGAUUGUGAGACUCUAUUCUUUUUUGAGGGAAUGUAGAAGAGAUAGGAGAAUUAAUCCUGCUUUUUUCACUGAUAGAAAAAUCAGCUAUUCAUCCUCUUAACAGCUUCUCUCCACAUGUGGCAAAGUAAUCAGCUCAGUGGUGCAGGAAAGUGGUGGUGAGCAAUUGCAGCCAAAUUCUGCAAUGCAGAAGUAUCUUCAUGUGAAAGAACUACCAGCUUACAUGGACUUCACUUCAUAGGUCAGCAUGUUUAUGCUUAAUAUAUAGAAGACAGGAGAUAUAUACAUACUGUAAGGCAAGCAAGUAAAAAGAAAUCUGAAAAAAAAAAAAAAGAUGUUGUAUUUAGUAUUCUCACGAUGAACUAUCAAUUUAAAAAUUGGUGGUCAAAAGACUGGCCUUUGUCCCUUGACCUUUAAUGCAUGCACACAGGCAGCUGGUAAUAAAAGUUUUGCAACCUGAA